GAGGAAUAUUGGUCAAUGGACGCAAGUCUGAACCAGCCACGUCGCGUGAAGGAAGACGGCCCUACGGGUUGUAAACUUCUUUUAUACGGGAAUAAAGUGCCCCACGCGUGGGGUUUUGCAUGUACCGUAUGAAUAAGGAUCGGCUAACUCCGUUCCAGCAGCCGCGGUAAUACGGAGGAUCCGAGCGUUAUCCGGAUUUAUUGGGUUUAAAGGGGUGUCAGGCGGGGGAUUAAGUCGGCGGUGAAAUUUUGCAGCUCAACUGUAAAAGUGCCUUCGGAACUGGUUUCCUUGAGUGUGGAUGAGGUAGGCGGAAUUUGUGGUGUAGCGGUGAAAUGCAUAGAUAUCACGAGGAACUCCGAUUGCGCAGGCAGCUUACUAAACCAUAACUGACGCUCAGGCACGAAAGCGUGGGGAGCAAACA
rnacentral:rRNA from 1 species